rnacentral:misc_RNA from 1 species
AUUUAAUUUAUUAUAAAUUUAAUACAUAAAUAUAUAAUAUUCAUAUAUUUCAUAUAUAAAUUCCAUCAUAUAUUUACGUCUUAAUCCAACAAACGAACCGCAAAAGAUCCAAAACCCACAACAGAAGAACCACAAACCAGCUACUUGUGCUGCUUCUCCUAAGAAGAGCUCCACCACAAAAAGACCCAAACCAACCAAAUAACGCUAGUGGCAGCUGAAAAGGAACCACUUGAAAGUAAAGGAAAGAACGAAGGUCAUGGAGCCAAAGGAACCACUCAAGCUUCGGUUGGUAGCCCGCGUAGAAGGAAGGAGCAAUGACGAGCAGAGCGCCAUCGACGUCUCAAUCUCCGUUAGCCAGGGCGGCGGCACUCUCUCGGCCAGCUCUUCAAACCCUAGGGAUGCAUCUACCUUUAUAUCCAUAGCUGAGACUUCCUUCCAGCCUAGUCAAAACAUGCACUCCAAUGGUCAUGCAAGAUACUAGAUCAAAGCAGAUUUGCAAUGAUUUUCCUUCUUUUGAACCACCAAACCUGCAAACAACCACACUAAAUUACCAACAAAAGACAAGCAACAGAACAGAGAAGAAACAGAAACAAAUCAUAUUGGUAGCAUUAGAAUUCUUUUACCGUUCACACACACAGCCUAACCAUCAAAAAUUAUUUACAACCCUACCCGGCAAUAAAAAGGAAAAUCCACUAAUCAGAUAGGACGUAGCCUCUCUCUGCUCAGAGGGGUAAACAAGAACCGCCACACGCAGUGAAAGGACAAGGCUUAAUCUAGAAAAGUGGGACCUAAGACGAGAGGAAAAAGGAAAAGCUUUUUCAAAUGGAUCGUUUGUGUGGUUUGGUUGCUAAUGGGUAAAAGGUAUUUUUACUGAAAGCCUUUUGCAUGGGCAGCACCAAAAUUCUAUUCUAUCGAAAGGAAAGAACUCAUAAAUGAAUGCAGUUAGAAUGAAAUAAUUUGAGCACGUACUAACGCAAUUGUACAAAAGCAAGUGGACCUGCUCCACAUGGGAUCUACCUGCAAAGAAAAAGUGAAAAUACACAUAAAACUUUUUGCUGUUGACAAAGUCAUACUUUG